rnacentral:rRNA from 1 species
UAUUUUAGUCUUGUUAGAGGAACCUGUUUUAUAAUCGAUAAACCACGAACAUCUUACUUAUUUUAAAUAAUUUGUAUACCGUCAUUAUUAGAUAACUUUCAAAAAAUUAGUUAUUAAAAUUAAUAAAAUUAAAUAUAUUAGAUCAAGGUGCAGUUAAUAAAAAAGAAAAAAUGGGUUACAAUAAAAUUUAUUUAAAACGAAUUAUAUAAAUGUAAAAAUAUAUGAAGGAGGAUUUAAUUGUAAUAUUUUUUAUAAUAAUAAUAUGAUAAUAGCUCUAAAAUAU